GAUGAACGCUGGCGGCGUGCCUAAUACAUGCAAGUCGAGCGAACAGAUGAGGAGCUUGCUCCUCUGACGUUAGCGGCGGACGGGUGAGUAACACGUGGAUAACCUACCUAUAAGACUGGGAUAACUUCGGGAAACCGGAGCUAAUACCGGAUAAUAUAUUGAACCGCAUGGUUCAAUAGUGAAAGACGGUUUUGCUGUCACUUAUAGAUGGAUCCGCGCCGCAUUAGCUAGUUGGUAAGGUAACGGCUUACCAAGGCAACGAUGCGUAGCCGACCUGAGAGGGUGAUCGGCCACACUGGAACUGAGACACGGUCCAGACUCCUACGGGAGGCAGCAGUAGGGAAUCUUCCGCAAUGGGCGAAAGCCUGACGGAGCAACGCCGCGUGAGUGAUGAAGGUCUUCGGAUCGUAAAACUCUGUUAUUGGGGAAGAACAAAUGUGUAAGUAACUAUGCACGUCUUGACGGUACCUAAUGAGAAAGCCACGGCUAACUACGUG
rnacentral:rRNA from 1 species